rnacentral:tRNA from 1 species
UCCGUUAUCGUCCAACGGUUAGGAUAUCUGGCUUUCACCCAUCGACCCAGGUUCGAUUCCCGGUAACGAAA